rnacentral:rRNA from 1 species
CUGGGCGUAAGCGCACGCAGGCGGUCUGUCAAGUCGGAUGUGAAAUCCCCGGGCUCAACCUGGGAACUGCAUUCGAAACUGGCAGGCUAGAGUCUUGUAGAGGGGGGUAGAAUUCCAGGUGUAGCGGUGAAAUGCGUAGAGAUCUGGAGGAAUACCGGUGGCGAAGGCGGCCCCCUGGACAAAGACUGACGCUCAGGUGCGAAAGCGUGGGGAGCAAACAGGAUUAGAUACCCUGGUAGUCCACGCCGUAAACGAUGUCGACUUGGAGGUUGUGCCCUUGAGGCGUGGCUUCCGGAGCUAACGCGUUAAGUCGACCGCCUGGGGAGUACGGCCGCAAGGUUAAAACUCAAAUGAAUUGACGGGGGCCCGCACAAGCGGUGGAGCAUGUGGUUUAAUUCGAUGCAACGCGAAGAACCUUACCUACUCUUGACAUCCAGAGAACUUUCCAGAGAUGGAUUGGUGCCUUCGGGAACUCUGAGACAGGUGCUGCAUGGCUGUCGUCAGCUCGUGUUGUGAAAUGUUGGGUUAAGNNCCGCAACNAGCGCAACCCUUAUCCUUUGUUGNCAGCGGAUCNGGCGGGAACUCAAAGGAGACUGCCNGUGAUAAACUGGANGANNGUGGGGAUGACNUCNACCCCNAUNUNCCUCCAGAUU